AUUACGCUGUUUUUUUGUGCAUCCAAACAGCGUAGAUAGAAGAUGGACAGCGCUGUCUGCACGACUGAUUUAGUGAGACACAAGUAACACAGAAGAGCUAAUAACUGUUUGUUCCUACAGCUUUCAGAGCUGGGUCGAUCUGGAAUCUUGCCCCUUAUAAGGUCAUGAGGGCAUUGAACUUGCGGCCACUGCGCCACAAACUGAGCCUCCGUACAUGGGGCGCAUAGCUCAACCAGGUGAGCUACCCAGGCGCCCCAAUAAUCCUUAACUUGUUAAAGUUAACGUUAUCUGGUUUGAAACAAGUUUUUCU